rnacentral:lncRNA from 1 species
AAACCAGAAUCUUUUAUAACCAUCCCAUUUAUCGAAUUUGUUCUCACCUAUGAUAUUACCACAGUCUUUAAAGAUCCCAUCAGAUCAGCUAAAGGAUCUAUCUUCAUAUCCAGGAGCCAACUUUGAGAUGCAUAAUUAUAUUUGCCAUUAGAAGACGUUCGUCCUCGUCUUCUCAUUGGAUUGCAAUUCCAUUAAAUAUAUUGCUCGAGCUCCCAGGUUAAGCUUGAUUUAAAUUUGCAUACAUUUUCAUAUAUUUAGGAGAAAUAAAAGAAGGCUGCAGCCACCAGAAAGUCAUUAAAGUGCGCCGAGCUGCUGGUGGAGAGACGGAGGAGAGUGGAGAGUGGAGGCCCGGAGCAGGUGAACUUAACCGCGGGCUGGAAGUGUGGACAGGAGUCGCUGGAGGGUUGGAGAGCCGCAGGGGCCCCUCGGUGUAAACCGGAGGAAUCACAGUGAAAGGAAGACUAACGACCACCUUGUGGAAGCUAAUGAGGAUCCAAAUAAAGAAUAAAGAGCACAGGGUACGUCUGGCUUUGGAGCUGAAGGCCCAGCUGCACCCACAGAGUGUGGAGGCAGGAGGAGAUGGCUGUAUGAAGGCAGCGGCAGCUGGUGGAGAUACACAGUGUCAAGAGAGCUCAGAGAGACAGAGAAAGAGGAC